ACGAACGCUGGCGGCGUGCCUAAUACAUGCAAGUAGAACGCUGAAGAGAGGAGCUUGCUCUUCUUGGAUGAGUUGCGAACGGGUGAGUAACGCGUAGGUAACCUGCCUUGUAGCGGGGGAUAACUAUUGGAAACGAUAGCUAAUACCGCAUAACAAUGGAUGACACAUGUCAUUUAUUUGAAAGGGGCAAUUGCUCCACUACAAGAUGGACCUGCGUUGUAUUAGCUAGUAGGUGAGGUAACGGCUCACCUAGGCGACGAUACAUAGCCGACCUGAGAGGGUGAUCGGCCACACUGGGACUGAGACACGGCCCAGACUCCUACGGGAGGCAGCAGUAGGGAAUCUUCGGCAAUGGGGGCAACCCUGACCGAGCAACGCCGCGUGAGUGAAGAAGGUUUUCGGAUCGUAAAGCUCUGUUGUAAGUCAAGAACGAGUGUGAGAGUGGAAAGUUCACACUGUGACGGUAGCUUACCAGAAAGGGACGGCUAACUACGUGCCAGCAGCCGCGGUAAUACGUAGGUCCCGAGCGUUGUCCGGAUUUAUUGGGCGUAAAGCGAGCGCAGGCGGUUUGAUAAGUCUGAAGUUAAAGGCUGUGGCUCAACCAUAGUUCGCUUUGGAAACUGUCAAACUUGAGUGCAGAAGGGGAGAGUGGAAUUCCAUGUGUAGCGGUGAAAUGCGUAGAUAUAUGGAGGAACACCGGUGGCGAAAGCGGCUCUCUGGUCUGUAACUGACGCUGAGGCUCGAAAGCGUGGGGAGCGAACAGGAUUAGAUACCCUGGUAGUCCACGCCGUAAACGAUGAGUGCUAGGUGUUGGAUCCUUUCCGGGAUUCAGUGCCGCAGCUAACGCAUUAAGCACUCCGCCUGGGGAGUACGACCGCAAGGUUGAAACUCAAAGGAAUUGACGGGGGCCCGCACAAGCGGUGGAGCAUGUGGUUUAAUUCGAAGCAACGCGAAGAACCUUACCAGGUCUUGACAUCCCGAUGCUAUUUCUAGAGAUAGAAAGUUACUUCGGUACAUCGGUGACAGGUGGUGCAUGGUUGUCGUCAGCUCGUGUCGUGAGAUGUUGGGUUAAGUCCCGCAACGAGCGCAACCCCUAUUGUUAGUUGCCAUCAUUCAGUUGGGCACUCUAGCGAGACUGCCGGUAAUAAACCGGAGGAAGGUGGGGAUGACGUCAAAUCAUCAUGCCCCUUAUGACCUGGGCUACACACGUGCUACAAUGGUUGGUACAACGAGUUGCGAGUCGGUGACGGCAAGCUAAUCUCUUAAAGCCAAUCUCAGUUCGGAUUGUAGGCUGCAACUCGCCUACAUGAAGUCGGAAUCGCUAGUAAUCGCGGAUCAGCACGUCGCGGUGAAUACGUUCCCGGGCCUUGUACACACCGCCCGUCACACCACGAGAGUUUGUAACACCCGAAGUCGGUGAGGUAACCUUUUGGAGCCAGCCGCCUAAGGUGGGAUAGAUGAUUGGGGUG
rnacentral:rRNA from 1 species